AUAAAGUUGGCAGAAUUAUAUGUGGAUGAGUUAGGGUCAUUUUAUAAGAUUAUUGUUUCUUACUUUAUA
rnacentral:tRNA from 1 species